rnacentral:rRNA from 1 species
GACGAACGCUGGCGGCGUGCUUAACACAUGCAAGUCGAACGGAAAGGCCUCUUUCGGGGGGUACUCGAGUGGCGAACGGGUGAGUAACACGUGAGUAACCUGCCCUUGACUUUGGGAUAACUUCAGGAAACUGGGGCUAAUACCGGAUAGGAGCUCCUGCUGCAUGGUGGGGGUAGGAAAGUUUCGGCGGUUGGGGAUGGACUCGCGGCUUAUCAGCUUGUUGGUGGGGUAGUGGCUUACCAAGGCUUUGACGGGUAGCCGGCCUGAGAGGGUGACCGGCCACAUUGGGACUGAGAUACGGCCCAGACUCCUACGGGAGGCAGCAGUGGGGAAUAUUGCACAAUGGGUGGAAGCCUGAUGCAGCAACGCCGUGUGCGGGAUGACGGCCUUCGGGUUGUAAACCGCUUUCGCUCAUGACGAAGCUUUGUGUGACGGUAGUGGGUAAAGAAGCACCGGCUAACUACGUG